rnacentral:rRNA from 1 species
UAGUCCACGCAGUAAACGAUGAGUGCUAGUUGUCGGGAUUUUUCUCGGUGGCGAAGCUAACGCGUUAAGCACUCCGCCUGGGGAGUACGGCCGCAAGGCUAAAACUCAAAGGGAUUGACGGGGACCCGCACGAGCGGUGGAGCAUGUGGUUUAAUUCGAUGCAACGCGAAGAACCUUACCUGCCCUUGACAUUGACAGAAUCCUGUAGAGAUACGGGAGUGCUUCGGCCUGGAAAACAGGUGCUGCAUGGCUGUCGUCAGCUCGUGUCGUGAGAUGUUGGGUUAAGUCCCGCAACGAGCGCAACCCUUGUCCUUAGUUGCCAGCACGUAAUGGUGGGAACUCUAGGGAGACUGCCGGUGACAAACCGGNGGAAGGUGGGGACACGUCAAGUCAUCAUGGCCCUUAUGGGCAGGGCUACACACGUGCUACAAUGGCGGAUACAGAGGGUUGCCAACCAGCAAUGGUGCGCUAAUCCCUUAAAGCCCGUCGUAGUCCGGAUUGGAGUCUGCAA